GCCGUCUGAGCUGCCCCAGGCGGUGGAAGUCGAAGGCGGUGAUGUUGGUGAUGAAGUUGCCGCCUAGGCUGUAGGUGAGCACGUCCUGGGGACUAGGCAGCGAGCUGGUCUUGGGUACCGCGCGAAGUCCCCUGUUGGUGCAUAGGAGAUGUUGGGGGUGCUGGCAGUCGCAGCGCUCGGGGCACACGGACUCGGCCCGCGGCGGGAACGCCAGACAGCCGCACACCACGAGCCAGAAGCGCAGGGCACCCACACCCUCCAUCGCCGCCCGCCCAGCGCGCUGCGGCCGGAUCGUCUUCUGGGCCGGCCGGCUCUGUGUCUCCUCUGCAUUCCCCUCGGCCGGGCCUGAGUCGCUUAAAAGGCCUCUUUCGUACUUCGCUGGUGCUCCGUCCAGCCCUUCCUCUUUGUCCCCGUGGCUCGCCCGGGUCUCCGCAGGCCGAGUUCGCGGAGCCAAAUCAGAAGGCGCUGGGCGCUCGGCGAGUCUGGGGUGCUACUUGUUGCAUUUCUGCAGAAAACUGUUUCUUCGGGUGAGCGUCGGGGGCGGGAGGAGCGAGCAAGAGUUGGUGCUUUUUGUUUGCUCUGGAGUCCGGAGAGCUGGAUUCCCUGGCGCGGAUUCUCCCCGCCAAACGGAUUCCCCCACUGCAGGCGGGAUCUCUUCCAAGAGCUGCUGGGGUGCGGCUUGGCUGCGGAGCACCCGCCGCUAGGCCCACGUCUCCGGCGCCUGCCCGCUCGCGAUCCGGGGGGACUGGGAGUGCAGCCGGAGUGGGCAGCCUGGGGGACGCACAAGCAGCGUCCGGAAGGGACCCAUGUCGGCGUGGAGCGAGCAAACCCGGCGGAAAUUCGUUCUUCCCACACUCUGCCCCCCGGGGGAUGCAGGCGGAGAAAGAGGAGACGGCGGAGGCAGGACAGACCCGGGCUGGGGGAGGAGGAAACACUAAGUGGCUCCGCGUCUGGUCAGCCCUAGCCCGGACGCCAAGUGAGAAAAGUAGGGAUUAAAAACAGCUGUACGGGUCGGCGCGCAGGCUGGGGGCGGGGGUGGAUUACCGGGCGAGCAAACGGGGAUUGCAGACAGAGACCUUUUUAUUUUAGGCCGGUUCGCCAGCGGCUUCGGCGCAGAGGCAGUGCGCCUACAUUUUACCUACUCUUCUCUUCCCGGUGCCACCCUGCGAGAUGUUGAGACAACACGGAAUUCCCUGGCAUCCUGCUCCAAGUUUGGGGGGAACACAAGAUUUUCUGGCAAGUCCAUCAGUGGACUGUUGACAGAAGGACUGUUGCUCAGUCCUUUUAGAGUGUUUGGGUUUCUGGUGUCCUUUAGCUCAUGUCAAAGGAGAGGCACCGCCUCUUUUAGGUUCCUAAACCGAAUUAUUUGCCGGAUCUCGGAUCUCGCUCUGGGAAAACCUCUGAAGAAAGCUCAGAAGUGGAACUGUUACAGUGACUGCGACACGGCCAGAUUUGGCUAUUCAGCUAGAUGAAUUCUCCUGCAGUGUUAAAGCCCUUCAAAUAGCCUCGGAACCCGGGCCUGUAUACAAUACGCUGCACAGAGCCUUUGGAGAUUGCUUCUUGAGGGGCCCGCCUACUUUGUGCCAGAGUAUACAGCAAUCUUGAACGUUUUCAGGCUCCAAGGUGCUCAGGCUUGGAUUUGUUGGGGAGGGGGGUGUCAGGUGUCAGAUACUAACUUUUAUUAUUAAUACACAAUAGUGCACCAUUUCAUCCGGGGUUCCCCUAGGGCCAGUGUCUGAUAAGAAUGAAAACAAGCAAGAGAUAGCUGUUGCUUAUUAUUUGUUCAUGCAAAGCAACAUUUUGAAAGUAGCCCUUCAGGAUUUACUGUGUGCUAGCAGUGUGGAAAAUUAGAGCCCAUAUCCUGGCUUCAGGGGGCUGACCGUCUGUAUGGGAAGGGAGGCACAAUGACAGAUCACAUUAGGAAACUGAGCAAGGAAGAGGAGAAAUCUGCAAAGAUUCAAAUAGUCUAGUCACUCUCUUAUGUCAUUUUCUUGUUGAGCAGUUUACCAAGGGGAGUGAUGGAGCCAUGUGCUGAACCUGGCAAGGUAGAAAGUGAAGACUUCAUGGGUAAAGCAGCGACCCCAAUUUGGUGGGAGAUGGGUUUUGGACUAAAACAGGUAAGUCAAUAGUGAAGUACACCCAGUUUACUGUGUUUUGCUUUGAGCUUCAAAUAAAAGGCAACUAUGGAGACACAA
ensembl:lincRNA